UCAAAGACGACGAGACUUUCCUAUAGACAGCAAGAAGUACUGCUACACUCUAAGCACCAAAGAGAGAAGGCGGUAUCUUAUCCGAGCAACAUUUUUAUAUGGAAACUCUAUGAAUGAAAGCACAUACCCCAAGUUUCAGCUUUACCUGGACGCAACUAAGUGGUCAACCGUAAUUGUCUUGGAUGCUCCAAAAGUGUAUGUUAAGGAAAUGAUCAUCAGGGCUCCAUCAAAUUCCAUUGCUGUCUGCCUGUGCUGUGCAACAACAGGUUCUCCAUUCAUAUCCACUCUUGAGCUGCGGCCUUUGAAUCUUUCCAUGUAUGCCACAGAUUUUGAGGAUGGUUUCUACUUAAAGGUAGCCGCAAGAGUAAAUUUUGGAGCUGCAAGUAUUGAAGCCAUAAGGUAAGCUCUCGUAGAAUCUUCAUAUAUGACACUAAAUUUCAUAGUGGAAAUGGAAAUGAAAAUGACACAUGAAGCAAUCACAGAUAUUAAACAGAGUUUCAGACAAAUAAACUGAUUUUAAAAGCAACUGCCCUGUUGUGAAAACAGUUGAAUGGGAUAAUUACCACAUAUUAGAUACUAGCACGGCAAUUACAUCAAGAUGAUUGUUAUGUCAGGUAUCCCGAUGAUCCAUAUGACCGUAUAUGGAGUUCUGAUCUCGAAAGAAGGCAAAAUUAUCUCGUCGGGGUGGCCCCUGGGACUGAAAGAAUCAAUACAACAAAGAACGUAAUGUCAAACACAAGAGAGUACCCACCAUUAAAAGUAAUGCAAACUGCAGUUGUUGGCACCAAAGACAGCCUCACUUACAGAUUAAACCUUGAAGAUUUCCCUGCCAAUGCUCGAGCUUAUGCAUACUUUGCUGAAAUUGAAGACUUGGGAACUAAUGAAACUCGGAAAUUUAAAAUAGAGAAACCUUACCUGCCUGACUACAACAAUGCCGUGGUCAA
rnacentral:lncRNA from 1 species